GUUUCCUCGGGAGAAGUGACGGAGAAGUGGGGGUGUGCGUUAGAGAGGAGAGGAGCAAAGAGAGGAGGCGGAGAAGGGGCACCCCCGGAACGCCGACGUCACUCGACUCUAAAUUCCCCCGCUCGUCCAACCCACCGGUUGGCUAAGAAGCGGCCUAAACCUCGGGUCCCUGCGCGCUUCCUGGCCGGACCACAACUGCCCCGCUACUUCACCAGCCUACGCGACCUAAGCGCCGGUUAGUCAGACGUUGCUGCCGUUCUGCUGCCUCUAGCCCAUUCUGGCCACGAUUUCCACGCGGCGGAAGGGGUACGGCGGAAGGACCGAAGGGGGAGCGGACGGGCGGUACAGGAGGGGCAGGGUCGGAGCUGGUGCAGUAGGGGCGCCUCCUCGAGCCGGAGACGUCGUCGCGGGGGGACCGGCGGGCAAACACCUUGCCCUUACGGUGUAACUAAACAAAGAACAGUAGAGGUCUACCCAAACACCAUGGACGUUAAAUAUGACCUUAAAUUAGAACUCGAGUCCUAAGGUACGGGAAAACAGAACUCGACUAAACGACGAAUAUUAUAGACUACCCAGUACGUAAGAAAACCAAGACUUUAAAUAUAACAAAAUAAAUAGGGCUCAAAUCUUCGGGACUGACUGUGAUCCACCAGGUCAUAGGUCACUCAAAGGGAAGACACACAUUAAAAGGUAGGUGUACCAAACGUCAAAACAUCAGUUGGUUAGUCAUGGCCGUAGUUUUAUAACUUUACUAAUCUACACCUCAUGGACUAGACGAGAGUAUUAUUGCGUCAGGGAAUAAUGAUCGAAAUAUUCUCUCCUUAAUCGGGAUAAGAAGAAACGAUGUUUAUUGCACCUAUGUCUUCUGACUUCAUCUUGAUCCCGUAGUACGUGCCCUUUAAGUUUAUCACGUGACCUUGGUUUGGAAAUCGAGAACCCAGAACAACUAAGUCACGUUCUUGUAUAAAAAAUCGACCUACAAAGUGAGUAAACUUAAAGAUAACACAAGAAGUCAUAACAAUCUACAGUUCAUAUGUUACUAUGUGAAUUAGAACUAAAUUAAAACUAGUAUUUCUCAAAUCGUAUCAAAACAACCUGGUUCUGGUAGGAAACACAUAUAGGCACUAGACAUGGUUCGUUGUAUCGACGGUCUACUUUACAAGGAAAGACUACUUGUAUUCACAAGGUUAGAGAAGAGAUGGUGAUUGUAUAAAUGAAUAAGAAUACUACAACAUUUGAACUGAUGAAUUCACACCUAACAAAUACGUCCUAAUAUCGUGCCUUCUUUCCAGUUCUCUUUACCUAAAUAAUUCUGAGAAAGGAAUGACCGAACUAUGAUUAGUUACCUUACGUUAUGACUUGCUACAAUUGUAAGGGAGAAACAAAUAAGACUGACCAGGUUGACCACCUCCAUUUAGGUCGUACAACACAAAUCAGAUGUGGCGACGUAACGAACCUUAUACACCCGACUACCACGGUCGACGAAGUAGACAGUAGGGUGUGAAUUUAAGGUAGUACAACGUAUACUUCCGGAUACGAUGAACUCGACUACCCUUUUCAAGUAAAGUCCACGGUUAAAACAUCGAAACGUAAAGAAAAGACGUUUUAGACACAGAACAUAAGGGUCCUCGUGUACACGAUGUGAUAGAAUAUUACAAAUCUAAAAGACCUAGUACCUCAGUUCGGACUAUUUUUUAUAAAAAACUACAAUAAAUUAAAACUACAGCUCGAAAAGUUAUAGUGCCCUUUCUCAGCUCUACGAUCUUUGAUAUGACCGUACCCCGAACCACCAUGUCAAGGGACUGGAAGGACAGUCCUAUACUUUGUUGGAAGUUAAAUGUCCUAGACUUUAUCGAGCCACUAGAAAGAAGGGUGUAGUAGAGUCUUAAGACAUACAUCAGGAGAUUCCGUUUUCACUUUAAAAGUACAGAACCAUGUAAAAUUAAAGUCUCUUGAGCCGUAAGUCUGGAGCGACCGACGUCGAUCUACUCGAACGACCAUAAAAUAAUAGACCAGUAUUCGUCUAAACAAUAGAAGUUCAUUUCGAUUUACACUCGGUGUGGUUGAAGGAAAUCAAGAACCUUAAAACAAUCACAGGAAACCUAAUUGUUAUACGGUGUUACGAAAUCUUCUAAACGUCCCUGGACACGAUAAACUUCUAUGUUCACCGGAAGAAACAAUGAAUACAAAAGUAAAAAAAUAUUUGAUAAACGUUAAGGUAGACGAAGAGUAUCAAAGACGUUAGAAGUUUAAGUUGAAUACAAUAUCUCCGAAGUCAAGAAUUGUAUACCAUGAACUAACUAGUAGUACAUAUAACAUAUUUGUAUUUUACUACGUGAUUUACGUG
rnacentral:rRNA from 1 species